UUGAUAUCAGCCACAACACUCAUUCUCUAUCUCUCUCUCACACACUCACACUCAAACACGCCAAACACCAUUUUUAGCUUGGACGGAGGUUUCAAGCUCCGAUUUGAGCACCGAGACGAGCGCCGAUCAUCUUUUCGAUCAUGUAUCUAAGUAGGUCCUUUUGGGAAGUAACGACUUGAGGGAGAGAGUGACGUUACUCAUUGAUACAGAGACACAACGAGGUUGAGCUGAUGUGAUGAUGGUGCUGCAAUGAGCGGAGUCUCCAGGGUUGUUAAUAAAUAAUUAACCUGUCUAGAAUAUGUCUUCAUACAUAUGUCUAGCUACUUUCCGCUGCAAGAUGUUGUUGAUGUUAUAGUAUGUUAUGUCAUACUUUGAGUCUUAAGAGAAUGGUUUCAUAUGAUGUAUAACUUGAUUAAUGAUAUUAAUUAAAUUUUAUGCUGUCUUUCA